rnacentral:rRNA from 1 species
UACAUGCAAGUCGAGCGAAUGAUGAAGAAGCUUGCUUCUUCUGAUUUAGCGGCGGACGGGUGAGUAACACGUGGGCAACCUACCUAGUAGAUUGGGAUAACUCCGGGAAACCGGGGCUAAUACCGAAUAAUCCAUUUCACCUCAUGGUGAAAUGCUGAAAGGCGGUUUCGGCUGUCACUACUAGAUGGGCCCGCGGUGCAUUAGCUAGUUGGUGGGGUAAUGGCCUACCAAGGCAACGAUGCAUAGCCGACCUGAGAGGGUGAUCGGCCACAUUGGGACUGAGACACGGCCCAAACUCCUACGGGAGGCAGCAGUAGGGAAUCUUCCACAAUGGACGAAAGUCUGAUGGAGCAACGCCGCGUGAGUGAUGAAGGUUUUCGGAUCGUAAAACUCUGUUGUAAGGGAAGAACAAGUACGUUAGUAACUGAACGUACCUUGACGGUACCUUAUUAGAAAGCCACGGCUAACUACGUGCCAGCAGCCGCGGUAAUACGUAGGUGGCAAGCGUUGUCCGGAUUUAUUGGGCGUAAAGCGCGCGCAGGUGGUUUCUUAAGUCUGAUGUGAAAGCCCACGGCUCAACCGUGGAGGGUCAUUGGAAACUGGGAGACUUGAGUGCAGAAGAGGAAAGUGGAAUUCCAAGUGUAGCGGUGAAAUGCGUAGAGAUUUGGAGGAACACCAGUGGCGAAGGCGACUUUCUGGUCUGUAACUGACACUGAGGCGCGAAAGCGUGGGGAGCAAACAGGAUUAGAUACCCUGGUAGUCCACGCCGUAAACGAUGAGUGCUAAGUGUUAGGGGGUUUCCGCCCCUUAGUGCUGCAGCUAACGCAUUAAGCACUCCGCCUGGGGAGUACGGCCGCAAGUUGAAC